rnacentral:rRNA from 1 species
UGGGGAAUUUUGGACAAUGGGGGAAACCCUGAUCCAGCCAUCCCGCGUGUGCGAUGAAGGCCUUCGGGUUGUAAAGCACUUUUGGCAGGAAAGAAACGUCAUGGGUUAAUACCCCGUGAAACUGACGGUACCUGCAGAAUAAGCACCGGCUAACUACGUGCCAGCAGCCGCGGUAAUACGUAGGGUGCAAGCGUUAAUCGGAAUUACUGGGCGUAAAGCGUGCGCAGGCGGUUCGGAAAGAAAGAUGUGAAAUCCCAGAGCUUAACUUUGGAGCUGCAUUUUUAACUACCGGGCUAGAGUGUGUCAGAGGGAGGUGGAAUUCCGCGUGUAGCAGUGAAAUGCGUAGAUAUGCGGAGGAACACCGAUGGCGAAGGCAGCCUCCUGGGAUAACACUGACGCUC